CAAGAAGUUGAAUUAGAGCCAGCUGCUUCGUCUGAGUUGGGUUAAGUCAGAGGGGGAGGGUUGAUAUUGGGUAAUCAGAACAAAACGAGCUGGAGGGCCAGCCACCUGCUUAGUCGGAGUAAGAAUGCCUGCAGAGACCUGGACCAGAGUGGGCAGAAUGGAGGCCUAUUAUAGGAGACAUAUUGCUCACCCUUCACGAGAGGUCAAACACCUGAGUUAAAUUUUGGAAAGCUUCUAUAUACCUAUCAGGAUCUUCAGAAAAUCAGACUAAGCCUCCUUUUAUUUGCCUAAGGACCUGCAAUGAGAAGGGAACUUGAACCCUAGUGGCAUCACCUCCAUUGGGAAUUUCCUAUAGGGGGCCUAAAUAGUGUUCCUUGGAGAGAAAAUUACCCUGGGAAUGAAUAAACAAGAGCAAUGCAAAUGAUAUCCACGACUGUUACAGAUGCUUCGUGGAGGUUCAAAAAGACUACAGAUCAAGGCCAGUGACCUUCUACACAUGGUGGACACUCCAGCCUCUGCUCAAUCUCCAUCCACACUUAAAGGAAAUAGCCAACUCUUGGCCAACCUUCAGGCCUGGGAAGAGGCUCAAGCAGACACUGAAGACGGACUUAAGGCUGAAUAUGGCUGGAAUACUGCCCAAAUGAACUGACCAUUUUCCCAGUACUUUCAUCUUCAGAGAGAAGGCACUAAAAGUGGAUGGAGAGAAGACACAGAGGCUGGGCUGAAGGGGGAGGAAGCUGGGAGCCCUGCACAGGGCUACUGCACACUGGGACCUGCUCCUGGUUCAGCUCUGGAGGAAAGGCAUGACCAAGGACCAGGGUAUAUACACCAGACAACAGAGCCGUUUCAUUUUGGGGGCUCGUUUGGGAUCAGAAUCAGAAUGGAAGGUAGAAACAUCAGAGUGGCUAUACGAUGUCCGGAAGUGGUGGGUUCUUGGUCUCACUGACUUCAAAAAUGAAGACGAAGACGUGGACUCUGGCGGUGAGUGUUACAGUUCUUAAAGGCGGUGUGUCCGGAGUUCAUUCCUUAUAAUGUUGGGAGUUUCUUCCUUAUGGUGGGUUUGUGGUCUCGCUGGCUCCGGAGUGAAGCUGCAGACCUUCGCGGUGAGUGUUACAGCUCUUAAGGCGGCACGUCUGGAGUUGCUGGAUCCUCCCGGUGCGUUUGUGGUCUCGCUGACUUCAGGACUGAAGCUGCAAACCUUUGCCGUGAGUGUUACAGCUUAUAAAAGCAAUGUGGACCCACAGAGAGAACAGCAGCAAGAUUUAUUGGAAAGAGAUAAAGAAUAAGGCUUCCACACUGUGGGAGGGGACCGGAGGGGGUUGCCACUGCUGGCUCCGGCAGCCUGCUUUUAUUCUCUUAUCUGGCCCCACCCACAUCCUGCUGAUUGGUAGAGCCCAGUGGUCUGUUUUGACAGGGUGCUGAUUGGUGCAUUUACAAUCCCUGAGCUAGACACAAAGGUUCUCCAAGUCCCCACCAGAUUAGCUAGAUACAGAGUGUCCAUUGGUGCAUUCACAAACCCUGACCUAGACACAGGGUGCUGAAUGGUGUGUUUACAAACCUUAAGCUAGAUACAGAGUGCCGAUUGGUGUUUUUACAAUCCCUUAGCUAGACAUAAAGGUUCUCCACGUCCCCACCAGACUCAGGAGCCCAGCUGGCUUCACCCAGUGGAUCCCGCCCAGGGGCUGCAGGUGGAGCUGCCUGCCAGUCCCGCGCCGUGUGCCUGCACUCCUUAGCCCUUGGGUGGUGGAUGGGACUGGGCGCCGUGGAGCAAGAGGCGGCGCUCAUCCCGGAGGCUCCGGCGGCACAGGAGCCCACGGAGAGGAGGAGGCUCAGGCAUGGCGGGCUGCAGGUCCCAAGCCCUGCCCCGCGGGAAGGCAGCUAAGGGCUGGCGAGAAAUUGAGCACAGCAGCUGCUGGCCCAGGUGCUAAGCCCCUCAGUGCCUGGGGCCGGUGGGGCCGGCUGGCCGCUCAGAGUGCGGGGUCCGCCCAGCCCACGCCCACCUGGAACUUGCGCUGGCCCGCAAGCACCGCGUGCAGACCCAGUUCCCUCCCGCGCCUCUCCCUCCACACCUCCCAGCAAGCUGAGGGAGCCGGCUCCGGCCUUGGCCAGC
rnacentral:lncRNA from 10 species